GUACACCUACAGUUCAUUGGAUGGUAGUUUUGGAACUGGGAGAGACCUGGGAGAUAGAUCAUCUACUCAUAUUCUGCCUUUUUAUGUGUGAGCUACCUAAGGACCAGGAAGGUUAAGUGGCAGAGCUGGGAUUCCAAAUGAAGUCCUCUGGAUCCAAAUCCAGUGUUCUUGCCCCUGGACCACACCGUCUCCCAUACCCAGGUCCAGCUUUUGAAUAUCUCAGAUCUUCCAAUGAUGUUGCAUGGCUGUAGUUCAUGGAAUUCUACAAUCUCUGAAAACCUGAUUUGUAUCACCCAAGUGGAAAUGGAGAAGGAUAUGUUGAUGUCUCUUUUGAUCAGAUUAUACAGAUGCUUUUCAGCCUGUGACACAGAGUGGUACGCACUUUUAGACCAGAGGAUAGAUAAUAAAGUCAAUACAAUUAUGCAAAUAGGAGCCCAAGGAGACACUAAGUCCUUUUUCGCUCCUGAUCUUGGUGCUGGCCAAAUGCUUAUGUUUCAGAAAUAA
rnacentral:lncRNA from 1 species